rnacentral:rRNA from 1 species
GACGAACGCUGGCGGCGUGCUUAACACAUGCAAGUCGAACGCUGAAGCUCAGCUUUUGUUGGGUGGAUGAGUGGCGAACGGGUGAGUAACACGUGAGUAACCUGCCUCCUUCUUUGGGAUAACGCCCGGAAACGGGUGCUAAUACUGGAUAUUCACUGGUCUUCGCAUGGGGGUUGGUGGAAAGGGUUUUUCUGGUGGGGGAUGGGCUCGCGGCCUAUCAGCUUGUUGGUGGGGUGAUGGCCUACCAAGGCUUUGACGGGUAGCCGGCCUGAGAGGGUGACCGGUCACAUUGGGACUGAGAUACGGCCCAGACUCCUACGGGAGGCAGCAGUGGAGAAUAUUGCACAAUGGGCGCAAGCCUGAUGCAGCGACGCCGCGUGAGGGAUGGAGGCCUUCGGGUUGUGAACCUCUUUCGCUCAUGGUCAAGCCGCAACAAUGGUUGUGGUGAGGGUAGUGGGUAAAGAAGCGCCGGCUAACUACGUG